UUGUUUGCUAAUGCAGGUAUUUCAUUGCGGAGAAAAAUUUAAACACCCGCGUAUGGGAUUUGUGAUCAUAAUUUUCGAUAUAAGAUCUGCAGUAAAGUUUAAAGAAACGAAUAACUAAAUUAUUGGAUUGUGAAAAAAUAUCAUCGUACUAAAACUGGGAUUCCAGAUACAAUGUAUAUGCACAAUGGGAUGGUGCAUGUCUCAUUUGUUUGUAUGGGAAUUUGUAUGCAAUUCAUUACUCCCAUGCUGAAGUCCUUGCUGCACCAUACAAAAAGUCCAUUACAUUUUCACAUCAUUUCGGAAAAAGCCACAGAAAGUGACAUAUCAAAAUUGUUCAGAACAUGGGAUAUAAAUAAUGUGAAAUAUUCGAUUUACAAUGCAGAGCACAUGUUUUCUGAAAUAAGUUGGAUACCGAACAAACAUCAUUCGGGAAUAUACGGCCUCAUCAAAAUAUUAAUUCCUGAAAUAUUGCCACAGACAUUGGAUAAAGUUAUUAUGCUUGAUUACGACUUAAUAUUAUUGUGUGACAUAGUUGAGUUGUGGGCGUUUUUUAAAAAAAUGAAAAAUUACCAGGUCAUUGGCUUAACUGAAGAGCAAUCAAAUUUUUAUUUAGGAAAAAAUGGUUGGCCCGCUUUAGGCGCAGGGUUUAACUCAGGCGUCGUACUAUGGGACUUGAAGAAAAUUCGAGAAAAUUUAAUUUGGCCUAAUGUUUGGCGAAACGCUGUAGAAGAUAACCUUCCAAAACUGAAAUUCGUGAAACUGGCUGAUCAGGAUGUGUUAAAUGCUGCUAUUAAAAGAAAUCCAGAAUUCGUUUACAAGAUAGAUUGUAGGUUUAAUGUUCAGUUGACUUCGGCAUAUAUAGCAAAAAGUCGUUGCUACAAAGACAUUUCUCGUGUUAAGAUAUUCCAUUAUAAUAAUCAUGAUGUUUGGAGCGGUUAUACUUGGAAGGGUACUAAAGGAGACGCUUCUUUCUUUUCAAAAACAAUCCAAAAAUAUAUUUCUUAACAGAAAAUAACUGGUGUGUAUCUAUUACGAUAUUUUUUAAAUAAAUUAUUGAAAAUA